GUCGAACGGUAACAGGAAGCAGCUUGCUGCUUUGCUGACGAGUGGCGGACGGGUGAGUAAUGUCUGGGAAACUGCCUGGUGGAGGGGGAUAACUACUGGAAACGGUAGCUAAUACCGCAUAACGUCGCAAGACCAAAGAGGGGGACCUUCGGGCCUCUUGCCAUCGGAUGUGCCCAGAUGGGAUUAGCUAGUAGGUGGGGUAACGGCUCACCUAGGCGACGAUCCCUAGCUGGUCUGAGAGGAUGACCAGCCACACUGGAACUGAGACACGGUCCAGACUCCUACGGGAGGCAGCAGUGGGGAAUAUUGCACAAUGGGCGCAAGCCUGAUGCAGCCAUGCCGCGUGUAUGAAGAAGGCCUUCGGGUUGUAAAGUACUUUCAGCGGGGAGGAAGGGAGUAAAGUUAAUACCUUUGCUCAUUGACGUUACCCGCAGAAGGAGCACCGGCUAACUCCGUGCCAGCAGCCGCGGUAAUACGGAGGGUGCAAGCGUUAAUCGGAAUUACUGGGCGUAAAGCGCACGCAGGCGGUUUGUUAAGUCAGAUGUGAAAUCCCCGGGCUCAACCUGGGAACUGCAUCUGAUGCUGGCAAGCUUGAGUCUCGUAGAGGGGGGUAGAAUUCCAGGUGUAGCGGUGAAAUGCGUAGAGAUCUGGAGGAAUACCGGUGGCGAAGGCGGCCCCCUGGACGAAGACUGACGCUC
rnacentral:rRNA from 1 species